rnacentral:misc_RNA from 1 species
GGAAGUAAAAGUCGUAACAAGAUUUCCGUAGGUGAACCUGCGGAAGGAUCAUUCAUAAUAAAGUGUUUUAUGGCACUUUUUAAAAAUCCAUAUCCACCUUGUGUGCAAUGUUAGAUCUCGUCAAUCUUGGCGAGGUUUUUAUACAUCAACUCAUUCUUUAACUAAUUUGUCUGAAAAAUAUUAUGAAUACUUAAUUCAAAAUACAACUUUCAACAACGGAUCUCUUGGCUCUC